rnacentral:lncRNA from 1 species
AUUUCACAUAGUUUUAUAUAUUUAUAUUUAUAUAUUUUUUCUACCCCAAAAGCUUUGCCCCUGCUUACGUGUUAGGAACUGCUCAUUUCAGCUGCAAUAAAUUAUGAAAAUAUCAGAGCGUAAAGCAAAGAAAUCAUCACCCUUGGUCACUGAAAAGAGAAAAAGAUGAAACGCAUGUCUCCAUGGAUACAGUGGUCCUCUGGUGGUACUGGCUUCUCCUGGCAUUUAACGUACCAAAACAACAACUCCUCAGCAGGGAAUCUCUCGCCAUCCCACCACAAGAAAUCAGAUGGACCCCAGUGAAGUAUGCACGGGGAGAUGACGAGAAUGGCCUAAACACUUGGGGACACACAGCGGCUGAAGCAGG